AGAGAACGCUGGCGGCGUGCCUCAAACAUGCAAGUCGAGCGGGGCUAUGUAAUAUCGCAAGGUAGAACAUAGCCUAGCGGCGAACGGGUGAGUAACACGUGGGUAACCUGCCUGGAAGACAGGGAUAACGAUUCGAAAGGGUCGCUAAUACCUGAUAAUAUCCUUUCAUCGCAUGGUGAUAGGAAGAAAGGGGAAACCCGCUUUCAGAUGGGCCCGCGUCCCAUCAGCUAGUUGGUAAGGUAAAGGCUUACCAAGGCGACGACGGGUAGCCGGUCUGAGAGGAUGUACGGCCACACUGGGACUGAGAUACGGCCCAGACUCCUACGGGAGGCAGCAGUUGGGAAUCUUAGGCAAUGGACGAAAGUCUGACCUAGCGACGCCGCGUGAGGGAAGAAGGCCUUCGGGUUGUAAACCUCUGUCAUGGGGGAAGAAGUAAGUGACGGUACCCCAAGAGGAAGCCCCUGCUAACUACGUG
rnacentral:rRNA from 1 species